UACGUAGGGGGCGAGCGUUGUCCGGAUUUAUUGGGCGUAAAGAGCUCGUAGGCGGUUUGGCAAGUCGGGUGUGAAAACUCCGGGCUCAACUCGGAGACGCCACUCGAUACUGCUAUGACUCGAGUCCGGUAGGGGAGUGCGGAAUUCCUGGUGUAGCGGUGAAAUGCGCAGAUAUCAGGAGGAACACCGGUGGCGAAGGCGGUGGUCUGGGCCGGCACUGACGCUGAGGAGCGAAAGCGUGGGGAGCAAACAGG
rnacentral:rRNA from 1 species